rnacentral:rRNA from 1 species
GAUGAACGCUGGCGGCGUGCCUAAUACAUGCAAGUCGAGCGAACGGACGAGAAGCUUGCUUCUCUGAUGUUAGCGGCGGACGGGUGAGUAACACGUGGAUAACCUACCUAUAAGACUGGGAUAACUUCGGGAAACCGGAGCUAAUACCGGAUAAUAUUUUGAACCGCAUGGUUCAAAAGUGAAAGACGGUCUUGCUGUCACUUAUAGAUGGAUCCGCGCUGCAUUAGCUAGUUGGUAAGGUAACGGCUUACCAAGGCAACGAUGCAUAGCCGACCUGAGAGGGUGAUCGGCGACACUGGAGCUGAGACGCGGUCCAGACUCCUACGGGAGGCAGCAGUAGGGAAUCUUCCGCAAUGGGCGAAAGCCUGACGGAGCAACGCCGCGUGAGUGAUGAAGGUCUGCGGAUCGUAAAACUCUGUUAUUAGGGAAGAACAUAUGUGUAAGUAACUGUGCACAUCUUGACGGUACCUAAUCAGAAAGCCACGGCUAACUACGU